rnacentral:rRNA from 1 species
UUUCGUUUUUAUAAAUUUUUUUUUCUCUCUCAGGACGAACGCUGGCGGCGUGCCUAAUACAUGCAAGUCGAACGCUUCUUUUUCCACCGGAGCUUGCUCCACCGGAAAAAGAGGAGUGGCGAACGGGUGAGUAACACGUGGGUAACCUGCCCAUCAGAAGGGGAUAACACUUGGAAACAGGUGCUAAUACCGUAUAACAAUCGAAACCGCAUGGUUUUGAUUUGAAAGGCGCUUUCGGGUGUCGCUGAUGGAUGGACCCGCGGUGCAUUAGCUAGUUGGUGAGGUAACGGCUCACCAAGGCCACGAUGCAUAGCCGACCUGAGAGGGUGAUCGGCCACAUUGGGACUGAGACACGGCCCAAACUCCUACGGGAGGCAGCAGUAGGGAAUCUUCGGCAAUGGACGAAAGUCUGACCGAGCAACGCCGCGUGAGUGAAGAAGGUUUUCGGAUCGUAAAACUCUGUUGUUAGAGAAGAACAAGGAUGAGAGUAACUGUUCAUCCCUUGACGGUAUCUAACCAGAAAGCCACGGCUAACUACGUGCCAGCAGCCGCGGUAAUACGUAGGUGGCAAGCGUUGUCCGGAUUUAUUGGGCGUAAAGCGAGCGCAGGCGGUUUCUUAAGUCUGAUGUGAAAGCCCCCGGCUCAACCGGGGAGGGUCAUUGGAAACUGGGAGACUUGAGUGCAGAAGAGGAGAGUGGAAUUCCAUGUGUAGCGGUGAAAUGCGUAGAUAUAUGGAGGAACACCAGUGGCGAAGGCGGCUCUCUGGUCUGUAACUGACGCUGAGGCUCGAAAGCGUGGGGAGCAAACAGGAUUAGAUACCCUGGUAGUCCACGCCGUAAACGAUGAGUGCUAAGUGUUGGAGGGUUUCCGCCCUUCAGUGCUGCAGCUAACGCAUUAAGCA